UUGUGGUUCCUACUAUUACCCUCUUCGAUCUCCCAUAGCUCAAAUACACUAUCAACCUUACGAAUUCAGCUUCACAAUACAAAUCCGCUUCUUUCUUCACCUUCUUCUUUCCCAUAAUUCAUGAACCGUGUUCUUCCGCUGCGAGUUAACUUGAAGCAACUUCAUUCUUCUCUUUGUCUAACUUACAAACCUUUUUCUCUCGGUAGAACCCAACUUCUAUUCAUAAAAAAACCCUAAAACCAAAAUCAAUUGAACUCAGAACUCAAAUUUCCUAAAUAUCUCUUAGAAGCCUAAAAUUGAUUGAACCCAUAUCUCAAAAAUCGGUUAAUUUAUUCUAGAAAUCAAUUGAAACCCUAAAACCAUUAUCCCUGAUUGACAACACUAUUAUAAUAUGGGCUUACAUAUAUUUUCUUACAGGUUUGUUUUAAAUUUACAUACAGGAGAUUUCAGGAUAAAUACGAAAUUGUAGAAUCUGAAGCAGACCCAGAAAGGGAUCCGAGGUCUAUUUUUGCCUACCAGGUUUAUCGAUUGCCUCAAAUUUUUAUUUAUUUUAAAUAAUAUGUAAAAUAUAUAUAUUUAUUGGGUCUGAGUUAUUGGAAUAUUUGUCAAAUUUUUCAUAAUGAUAUCUUCUUUGCUCUUUGGUGGUGUUCACAUAUUGCCUUUAAAAGCAACAUAGAUAGAGAGAGACGCAUAGUUCUUCUCAAAAGCUGACAAGCCUAUAGCUUUAUCAGUUAUCAAAGCUAUAACUACUGAAGUGGACCCCAACAAUGUAUACUCAGUUUUUCACAUUGGAGACAAAAGUUGUGCUACUAGUUUUCUAGCAGAAUGGAAUUUCUUUAUGCACCUCAUUAGUCUACUAGCUUCAAGAUUUUCUUACAUGACGACAAUUGGGAAUCAUGAGAGGGAUUAUGUAAAUUCUGGCUCAGUUUAUCAAACAACUGACUCUGGUGGUGAAUGCAGAGUAUCUUAUGAAACAUACUUUCCAAUGCCAUCUUCUGCAAAGAAUAAGACUUGGUACUCUAUUGAACAAGCAAGUGUUCAUUUUACAGUAAUAUCAGCUGGAACAUGACUGGUCCAUAAAUUCUGAACAGUAUGAACGAAUGAAAAAGGAUAUGGCAUCAGUUAAUAUACAACAUACUCCUCGGCUAAUCUUCACGGGGUCAUAUACACUGGAAAAUGGGAUUCACUUUCUACAAGAGUUGUGUCACCUGAUUUUGAAAUUACGCAUGAAAUGGGAGCUAGACUUUUUUGUAUGCUUAUUGGCACAACUCACUAGAAGGCGGCUAAGAACAUUUCAUAAUUUCUAUUCUUUAUUUGGAUAAAGUACAAUUUUCUUUUGUUCUUUUAAAUUUACUUUUCCUUUAGACUUAGUCA